UCCCUGGUGGCUCAGAUGGUAAAGAAUUCACCUGCAAUGUGAAAGACCUGGGUUCAAUCCCUGGGUUGGGAA
rnacentral:tRNA from 1 species